rnacentral:rRNA from 1 species
AAUCAACGCUGGCGGCGUGCCUAACACAUGCAAGUCGAGCGAGAAAAGGGGAGCAAUCCCCUGAGUACAGCGGCGCACGGGUGAGUAACACGUGGGUAAUCUGCCCUGGAGUGGGGAAUAACACCGGGAAACCGGUGCUAAUACCGCAUACGAUCACAGAGUCUGCGGAUUUUGUGAUGAAAGGAGCAAUUCGCUCUAGGAGGAGCCCGCGGCUGAUUAGCUAGUUGGUGAGGUAAUGGCUCACCAAGGCAACGAUCAGUAUCCGGUCUGAGAGGACGGUCGGACAAACUGGAACUGAGACACGGUCCAGACUCCUACGGGGGGCAGCAGUGGGGAAUUUUUGGCAAUGGGGGCAACCCUGACCAAGCAACGCCGCGUGGGUGAUGAAGUCUCUUGGGACGUAAAACCCUUUCGACGGGGACGAAACCGCAAGGUUGACGGUACCCGUAGAAGAAGCCCCGGCUAACUCCGUGCCAGCCGCCGCCGUAA